rnacentral:rRNA from 1 species
CUACCAUGCAGUCGAGCGGAUGAGAAGAGCUUGCUCUUCGAUUCAGCGGCGGACGGGUGAGUAAUGCCUAGGAAUCUGCCUGGUAGUGGGGGACAACGUUUCGAAAGGAACGCUAAUACCGCAUACGUCCUACGGGAGAAAGCAGGGGACCUUCGGGCCUUGCGCUAUCAGAUGAGCCUAGGUCGGAUUAGCUAGUUGGUGAGGUAAUGGCUCACCAAGGCGACGAUCCGUAACUGGUCUGAGAGGAUGAUCAGUCGCACUGGAACUGAGACACGGUCGAAACUCCUACGGGAGGCAACAAUGGGGAAUAUGGGACAGUGGGCGAUAACCUGAUCCAGCCAUGCCGCGUGUGUGAAGAAGGUCUUCGGAUUGUAAAGCGCUUUAAGUUGGGAGGAAGGGCAUUAACCUAAUACGUUAGUGUUUUGACGUUACCGACAGGAUAAGCACCGGCUAACUCUGUGCCAGCAGCCGCGGUAAUACAGAGGGUGCAAGCGUUAAUCGGAAUUACUGGGCGUAAAGCGCGCGUAGGUGGUUUGUUAAGUUGGAUGUGAAAGCCCCGGGCUCAACCUGGGAACUGCAUCCAAAACUGGCAAGCUAGAGUACGGUAGAGGGUGGUGGAAUUUCCUGUGUAGCGGUGAAAUGCGUAAAUAUAGGAAGGAACACCAGUGGCGAAGGCGACCACCUGGACUGAUACUGACACUGAGGUGCGAAAGCGUGGGGAGCAAACAGGAUU